UUCUGAUCUCUCCCAAUUAGAGGAUUAGGCAAUUGGCAGUGCAGGGCGGUAACUGGGGGCCAGGGUGGCGCCAGGGCUGGACAGCACAGUCCCUCUGAGCUGCACGGAGACCUCGCAGGCCCCCGGAACUGUCGCCCUUCCAGGAUGUGGCUCCCUGCUCUUGUCCUGGCCACUCUCGCUGCUUCCGCGGCUUGGGGGCAUCUGUCCUCGCCACCUUUGGUGGAC
rnacentral:lncRNA from 1 species